rnacentral:lncRNA from 1 species
GUCAGGUUUUUCUCUGUUUAAGUGGCUACAGCUGAAUAGCUCAGGCCAAACUUAAAGCUCACACUUGAGACUUGACGUGCUCAGCUCCUGCUAAAGAGGCUCCAGGGCAGCGCCUGCCUUUCCGGGAAGCUCCCCUGAGGGUCACCGAGGCUGCAGAGAACACCCGGUGAUGACUGCAUGGAUCUCCUUCAUCUGCUGGGAUUCAAGCUGUGUUGCUGGGUCCUGCCUACCCAUCUGAGGACAUGUCUGCUCAUCACCCAUGUGCAUUCUGUCACAGUGGGACCUGUGUGUGUUCCCUGCUCAUUGUCGUUUCCAUGGUUUUGCUGAUUCUAUGCGAUUCUUCCAGGCCACUCCAAGUUCCACCUCUUCCACGAAGCCCUCCUUGAUUGCUGGGCCCUGGUUGAACUCCUUAUUAGUAACACCCAGGUUAGUCCUACUUAAUUCUUACCUGCAGCCAAAGUGGACUUAGCAUCUCCUUGCAUGCCUGGUAAAGUCAAGGGUUUUCAGCCAGGGCCUGUGUAUAAAGCAGAAGCAGCACAGAGUCUGGUUUGAAGCUUAGUGCUUGGGUUCAGACAGUUGUGGGUUACAAUCCCUUCUACACAUGUUCUCUGUGGAAACCAUUUGGUUCUCUGUGCUUGGAACUCGCCUGCAACGGGACAAAGCCAUCUCACCUAGACUGUUGUUAUGAAGAUUGAAUUAGGUGAUUCUGAGAGGCAUUUAUGCGUCCUCCCUGAGUAACAAUCCAUGAAAAGUGGGCGUCAUUGCUGAAGCUCAAGGAAGAAAUAUGAAAUUUGAUUAUAUCCUUAUUCACGGCAUUGGGUCACCAACUCAGCACUUUUUAUGAAAGUAGCAUCUGACCUGGCAAAGGCUGUGUCAUCUUAUUACCUCAGAAAGACAAAUUUACGGGGUCAGACGAUGGAUGGCUUGUAGAUUUCUCAAUGGGCUGGAAGGAAGGAGAGAAAAAGAGAGACAGGAGAGAGUACACAUUUAAUUCUGCUUCCCCUAGGGUGAUAUUUCCUUCCUCCCCUUCCAGGGUUCUCAAAAAGGCAUUCUAGGAAGUCCUGUAAAAUACAUGCUCAUAAAAAUCUCAUAAUUUCCACAAAUUGUUGAGAAUUUAAAACUCGGUUGGGAGUUUGCUGUUUCAGCCUGAGACACCGGGGUCACGUUUCAGUGCCUGCAGUCUUGAGACAGUACCAGGCAUCUGGGAUGAAGCUGAGGAAAGAAGAUGUGGGGGCCCUGCUGGCCUGCUCCUUCUCUCGAAAGACGCUUACCGGCUGCUGGUGUGUCACAGGGCUUUAGGAUUUGGAAAAACAGAGGGAUUUAAAAGAAGAUAGAAUGGUCAGAAUUUCGAGAACUGUGUGCUGAAGUGCCAUCUUUAGGGUGCUCAUAACACGGCCUUACAACAUUAGAGGUGCUGGAAUCAUGGAAGAGGCAUCUGGACUCUGUAAUGUCCUUCCCCCUGGAAAAUCUGCUCCAGAAGUGGGGGAUUGGGAGCUGUCAACAUAUGAGCCAUCUUUUGCUCCGUUCAAGAUGGUAGGGGCAUUCUCAACAUGCCCCUCACUCUGAUUCUGCCUCACUUUUAUUUUAGAAUUUUCCACUGCCUUUUCUGGAAUGUGCUUUUUCAACCCUCAAAAUCUGUAGAGAAGAAAUAAGCAGAAACCGAAAUGGCUUUCUGGUGUUCUCCAUGCUCUCAGCUUACUGGAAAAUCGAGCCGCAGGCUCGAGGCUGGACUUUAAGGCAGAGCACUGCAAUUAUAGUGCUAUGGCCUUGGCUUCCUUUCUCAUCACCCAGGUACAGUCCUGCAGUCCUCAGAGGAUGCCAGUCCCACACAGGGGGAUCCUUCUCCAUAGGAAAACCGAGGAACAAUGCAGGUUCGAGGUGCACAGUGGCUAAGCACACUCAGUCCUCAAGAUCUUUCCUCUCAAAUGCUAAUGCUACCUUCAGAUGGGCUGCUGCCUGCUACCAUUUCAACAUUGAGUCCUUUAAGAUGCCAUCAGAGAGAGGGGAAGCAAGAGGCCAAGAAAAAUGAAAGGAUAAUCCUGAGUUUAUAGAAUUUCAUCACAGUGUGUGAAACUGGUUUUUAACUUCACUAUACUGGCCCUCAGCGGUGGAGUCAACUGGGCACUGAAUAGAAAAAUCUCCCUCCUCCGUGUUGUCCCCAGCCCACCACAUUUCGCCCUAAGCUCUGCCCUGCACCAACACCAGCCUUCUUCUGGAGUUUGGCAGCUGUGGCAACUGCUGGCUGUCUCUCAACCACUUCACAAUAUGUAUCAAUGUAUUCUACAAAUCAUUGUAUUUGCCAAGCAUU